rnacentral:rRNA from 1 species
NGGCUGGUAUCCAGAGUACCACGAGACACGUGAAACCUUGUGGGAAGCAGGGUGGACCACCAUCCAAGGCAAAAUACUACGGAACGACCGAUAGCGCAUAGUACCGUGAGGGAAAGGUGAAAAGAACCGCGGGAGCGGAGUGAAAUAGAACCUGAAACCGUAUGUCUACAAGCAGUCGAAGCACUUUAUAUGUGCGACGGCGUGCCUAUUGAAGAAUGAACCGGCGAGUUAAUUUUAGAGGCGAGGUUAAGCGGGAGACGCGGAGCCGAAGCGAGAGCGAGUCUGAAUAGGGCGCAAGUCUCUGGGAUUAGACCCGAAACCACAGUGAUCUAUGCAUGGCCAGGUUGAAGCUCAGGUAAAAAUGAGUGGAGGACCGAACCCGUGAGUGUUGAAAAACUUUGGGAUGAGCUGUGCAUAGGGGUGAAAUGCCAAUCGAACGUGGAGAUAGCUGGUUCUCCCCGAAAUAGCUUUAGGGCUAGCCUCAGGUAACACAUGGAGACGGUAGAGCACUGAUCGGGUAAGGGAGCGUAAAGCUUACCGAGCCUAGUCAAACUGCGAAUGGCUUCAUGAGAAGAGCCUGGGAGUCAGAAUGCGAGUGAUAAGACCCGUAUUCAAAAGGGAAACAGCCCAGAUCGCCGACUAAGGUCCCAAAUGCUGUACUAAGUGGAAAAGGAUGUAGGACUUCCAAAACAACCAGGAUGUUGGCUCAGAAGCAGCCACCAUUCAAAGAGUGCGUAAUAGCUCACUGGUCGAGAGGCCCUGCGCCGAAAAUAUCCGGGGCUCAAGUACAGAACCGAAGUCGCGGGAUGCGCAAGCAUCGGUAGGGGAGCGUUCCAAGCAGGUUGAAGGCAGACCGAAAGGACGGCUGGACAGCUUGGAAGUGAGAAUGCUGGUAUGAGUAGCGAAACGAUCCGUGAGAAUCGGAUCCACCGAAAGCCUAAGGGAUCCUGAGCAACGCUCGUCGUCUCAGGGUAAGUCGGGACCUAAGCCGAGGCAUAAAGCAUAGGCGAUGGACAACAGGCGAAAAUUCCUGUACUGCAUGAUGUUGUUUGAGGAUGGAGUGACACAGCAAGGAGCUUGAGCGCGCGAUUGGAAAUGCGCGUCGAAGGCGGUAGGCUGGUAUAGAGGCAAAUCCCUGUACCAAGGCCGAGAACUGAUAGAUAGGAGCGUACUUCGGUACAAUCCGAAUUCAAGCGUACUACACUGUCGAGAAAAGCUUCUAACGAGACAUCAUGUACCCGUACCAAAACCGACACAGGUAGGCGGGGAGAGAAUCCUAAGGUGCGCGGGAAAACCCUCGUUAAGGAACUCGGCAAAAUGCAUCCGUAACUUCGGGAGAAGGAUGGCCGGAGCUGGUGAAGACCCUUGCGGUUGGAGCUGGAGCCGGCGGCAGAAGAGAAGCCCAAGCGACUGUUUACCACAAACACAGGUGCCUGCUAAAGAGAAAUCUGACGUAUAGGUGCUGACACCUGCCCGGUGCUGGAAGGUUAAGAGGAGAGGUUAUUCGCAAGAAGAAGCUUUGAAUUGAAGCCCCAGUAAACGGCGGCCGUAACUAUAACGGUCCUAAGGUAGCGAAAUUCCUUGUCGGGUAAGUUCCGACCCGCACGAAAGGUGUAACGACUUGGGCACUGUCUCAACGAGGGACCCGGUGAAAUUGAAAUACCUGUGAAGAUGCAGGUUACCCGCGACUGGACAGAAAGACCCCAUGGAGCUUUACUGCAGCCUGACAUUGAUUUUUGGCAUGUAACGUACAGGAUAGUUGGGAGACGGAGAAGAUAGGCCCCCAGGCUUAUCGGAGUCGCUGUUGGGAUACCAACCUUUAUGUGCUAGGGAUCUAACUCGAGAAGUAACGAAGCUGAGGACAGUAUCAGGUGGGCAGUUUGACUGGGGCGGUCGCCUCCGAAAGAGUAACGGAGGCGUCCAAAGGUUCCCUCAGCGCGGACAGAAAUCGCGCGAAGAGUAUAAAGGCAGAAGGGAGCUUGACUGCGAGACAUACAGGUCGAGCAGGUACGAAAGUAGGGCUUAGUGAUCCGGUGGAAUGAGAGUGGAAUUGCCAUCGCUCAACGGAUAAAAGCUACCCUGGGGAUAACAGGCUAAUCUCUCCCAAGAGUCCAUAUCGACGGGGAGGUUUGGCACCUCGAUGUCGGCUCAUCACAUCCUGGGGCUGAAGCAGGUCCCAAGGGUUGGGCUGUUCGCCCAUUAAAGUGGUACGUGAGCUGGGUUCAGAACGUCGUGAGACAGUUCGGUCCAUAUCCAUCGCGGGCGUAAGAUACAUGAGGGAGACUGCUCCUAGUACGAGAGGACCGGAGUGGACGGACCGCCGGUGUACCAGUUGUUUCGCCAGAAGCACAGCUGGGUAGCUGCGUCCGGAAGGGAUAAACGCUGAAAGCAUCUAAGCGUGAAGCCCGUCCCGAGAUGAAGUAUCUCAUAGCACAAGCUAGUAAGACACCUUGAAGAAGACAAGGUUGAUAGGGUAGAUGUGGGAGUGCCGCAAGGCAUGAAGCUGACUACUACUAAUAUGUCGAGGGCUUAA